UGUCGUCUUAUCCAAGAGCUACCCAUAAAAAAAUAGUCGUUCAUCGAGGUCGCGAAAAAGACGUAAGUUUUUAAUAAACAGCACUUACAUGUUUUUCAAUCUUUAAACUCGUUUUUCUCAAAACACUGUUUUUGUAGUUUGCGUACACGAUAGACAAAAAUCUAUUCAACCGAUUAAGGUCUACCUGGGCUUGUUUUGAAGAUAAAAAUGGUCUCUUCUAUAAGAAUUGUGGACCGUAGGUUGUACGCAAUGGGAAAAUUUCAGCAGCGAGGCGUUAUAUAUAUGGCGUUUAUUUUAUUAUUAAAUUCUAUUUUCAUUUAAUCAAAAAAUUAUAUUUAAAAGAUUUAAAUAUAUAAGAAAACAUACACUAAA